CCAUCCUGACCGAUAAUGACCAGAGUGGGUAGGGUCGACAGCUUAAAGUACCUCACCAACUUCUCGCAUUUCUUGUCUUUGAAUGGUAAUGAAAGCCAUGGCAUGCUGCCAAAGGAUUGGUUGAAUGAUGCUUCAUCAUCAUCGAGAGGUAUCUGAACGAUCUCAAAACUCUCUCCUCUGGCCUUCAAUUUCUCAUAAACCUCCAGUAACUUAGGCGUGAAAUCGACGCAUGCCCUGUGCACGGACAACGAGAAGUACAGACCCACUGUUUUCNNNNNNNNNNNNNNNNNNNNNNNNNNNNNNNNNNNNNNNNNNNNNNNNNNNNNNNNNNNNNNNNNNNNNNNNNNNNNNNNNNNNNNNNNNNNNNNNNNNNAAUCAUAGCACAUGCGACCAUGAGUUUCAAAUGCAUCGAGAUCUUUUUAGGUUUACCUGAUUCCGAUUGACGAAACUACGAAGUUACGAGAUCCAUGGACCAAAAGAGAGGUCACUGAUUGAUUUAUCCUAGUAGCUUCUUCCUGGUCUUUCAACUCUUUGAUACGUUCUGGAGUGAAAGGGUGACCUUCCACUCCAUACUCACGGACAAUCGCAACUCCGCUAUCUGUUAAGACCGUACCUGUGCCAUCGAGAAUGACAAGGUGGGGUAUCCCCCUCACCUUAAACAAUUCAUCCAAGCUAUUGCGCUUGUCCAAGUCGGAAAACGGGAUUGCAAGCCACGGCAUCUUGGAAAAGUAUCCACUGAAGGACCCUUCAUCCUUAUCUGCAGAGAUAAAAAUGAUCUCCAGAUCACCUUUUGGGGAAAGUUCAUCGUACACCUCCGCCAGAAUCGGGGUGAACCGGUGGCACGGACCGCACCACGAUGCGGAGAAGUACAAGCCAAUCUUCUUCCCCUUCAAGCUAUCGACCUUAACCUGAUAUAGAACAAAAAGAUUCCUAAUUUUAGUUCUUUCAUACGGUAAUCAGCGAGCAAGGCACACUAGAUCACUUGACCACCACACAAAAAUCCUGAAAAUGCUCAAGAUACACAUCCAAAUGCCAACUGCAGAAGCACUUCCCUUAUGCACUGCUCAUUAAAUAGUUAGCAAAUCAGCAGUCUUCGCCACCAAAACAAGUAUACCACACCGAAGGUGUGAGCAUUUACACUAAAGAGCAUUACUUCAUAGCAAUAUCGGAUCCAUAUACACUGCUCCCACCCGAUCCAACUCCAAGUAACAUGUCUUUCUCUAAAAAGUAAUGCAUCAACUACCGAUCAUCCAGUUUCUGAAGGAAACAAAUGGACAGCACUCGAAAAUGAUGAUCCUAGAUCAGACCAACUUUAGCUUCUCUUGAACUAAAUUUAAAAACCGAUCAGCGAAACAACCCCACACGAAGACGAAGGCCACGAGAACUUCGACAAGGACGCCCACCCAUAAUUCUUUUUCUUUCACCUCAUCCAGCGAAAGAGCAAGAGUGAAAGAAGAGAACUGAGUUUCACCUGAUCGCCGUUGUUCCGGAUGAGGAAGUCCCUGUCCGGAGAAGACAGGAGGGACUGAACAUCGUGAGAAGAAGCCCCGCCUUCGACAACGUCCGCCAUCCUGGUCGCGUUCGUUCCUUGUGUCCUGUUCUCGUGUCUCUGCAGAGAGUCUGCCUGAGAACCNNNNNNNNNNNNNNNNNNNNNNNNNNNNNNNNNNNNNNNNNNNNNNNNNNNNNNNNNNNNNNNNNNNNNNNNNNNNNNNNNNNNNNNNNNNNNNNNNNNNGCAAAGAACCAAACGGAAAGAACAUCGGCAUCUAAACUUAAAAGGCGCACGAACUCAUCUUCCAAUCCGGCAAGAUAAGCCCCAACCAAGAAUCAGAUCAGCAAAUGCUCUCGACCCCCACCCUCCCCCAGUUUGAAAUUCAAGAACCGAUCACCACAAGGCCAAGAAUUUCUCGCACGAAACUGGGUAGUCAGCGAAACAACGAGAACUUCCACAAGGACGCCAACCAACCCACAAAAUUCUUUUCUUUCUCCCCUCUUCCAAAGGGAAAGAGCGGGGAGUGAAAGAAGAGAACCGGGAUGGACAGGGUGAUCGCCGUUGUUCGAGAAAAAAAGGGGUCCCUGUCCGGAGAAGACAAGAGGGACUGCACAUCGUGAGAAGAAGCCCCGCCUUCGACAACUUCCGCCAUUCUCGUCGCCUUCGCUGCAGCGUUCUGGUGUCCUUGCAGAGCGUGCUUGAGAAAUCCUCCUAUGGCGGGCUUCUGCACCUUGCUCCUGUUUAUAUAGACAGAAAAAACUCAGGCAGGCAGGUCUUUUUUUUUAUAAUUAAAUUAUCACCGAAAUUAACUCUUUAAUUUUUCCUUCUUUUUUUUUUUUUUUGGGGGUUCUGGAUUGUUCCUUGGACUUUCGUGGGGCGCAAGGAUGGCAUCUCGGGAGAUGGGCUCCAACGUUGGUACGCGUCCACGUCAGCAUAUUAAUUGUCUUCUUUUUCCUUACUUCGAUUUUUUUUAUCUUAUUUAGCCCUUUUGCCAUUUUAUGCUUCCUCCUCCCCCAAGAAAUCUCCGCUGUAGAAGUCCGCAAAGAAUCAUUUAUUUUUACCCUCUCGAUAUUAUAAAAUGUUAAAUCUUAAUUUUUUUGUAUUUCAUUCAAUACUUUAGAUUUUGUCUUUUCAUUGGCACGUGGGGGCGGUGGGUGAAUAUAUCUCUAAGGGUGCGCAUGGUUUCAUUUCUGUUCCUUUUCUGUUCCCAGGAACAGAAACAAAAAAAAGUGUUUCUGUUCCGGGGAACAGUUUCUGAACAAAAAAACGCGUUUGGUAAGUGUAAAAAAAAACUGUUCUUGGAAUAAAAAAAGAACAGAAAUAUGUUUGGUAACUGCAGUCAAUUUCUGUUCUUAGAAUAGAAAAAGAACAGAAACACGUUUGGUAAACGACAAAACAAUUUCUGUUUUUUUUUUUGAUAAAGUUUAAAAUUGAUAUUAAAUUGUCAUUCUUAUGAAAUGCUCAUUAAUUUUAUUUUGUUCAUGGUUAGUGAAGACAAACAUUUUUAGCAUGAUCAUAUGGCAUAUUUCGUAUAAAAUUUUGUAAUUAAAGUUUGUAUCUAGUAAAUUCAAGUACAACCACGCUGCACCCCGACUUUAGCUAACCCCCUUGGUGGUGAAAUCGUCCUUCAACGCCCUCGCCACGUGCUUCACCAGCCUGUCCAUUCCACAUCACCAUGAGCAACAAAAUAACAAUAGAAGGAAACCACAUCACCAGCCUAUUCAUUCAAAAUCACCAGCCCCUGUCCACCUCGCUAGAGCUGCAGCAGCAGCUGCUGCACGAGCAGCUCGAGCGAGCUGCUGCAGCAGCUGCUGCUCGAGCAGCAGCAGCAGCUCGCUCGAGCAGCUCUAGCUGCUGCUCGAGCAGCUGAGCUGCAGCUCGAGCUGCUGCAGCUGCUGGAGUUGAGCUGCAGCUCGCUCGAGCUACUGCUCCAGCAGCUGCAACUCGAGCUCGCAGCAGCUCGAGCUGCUGCAGCAGCUACUGCUCGAGCAGCUCGAGCUGCUGCAGCUGCUGGAGUCGAGCUGCAGCUCGCUCGAGCUACUGCUCCAGCAGCUGCAACUCGAGCUCGCAGCAGCUCGAGCUCGAGCUCGCAGCUGCUCGAGCUCGAGCUCGCAGCAGCUCGAGGCAGCAACUCAAGCGAGCGAAGGGGGAGGCAAUGACGAGCUGCAGCUCGAGCGAGCGUUGCUCCCCUUCGGCGCGGCAGAUCUGGGCGAGCAACGCUCGCUCAAGCCUUGAGCGAGCAAUGCUCGCCCAGAUCUGCGGCAGAUCUGGCCGAGCAACGCUCGCUCGAGGGACGGCUCGCCGCGCCGAAGGGGGAGCAGUGCCGACCGGAGAAGGAGCGCCGAAGGGGGAGCGACGCUGACCGGAGGAGGAGGGCCGAACGGAGAGCAACGCUGACCGGAAACGUACCUGGAGUCGCCGGAGAGUUAGCCGAGUGGGAGCCGCCGGAGAGAUGGAAGACACGCCGGAAACGGAAGAACGAAGCUUCAGCCGAGAGGAGCGACGACGAGCACGCACGAAGAGUUCUUCGCUUUGUUCCGAAUUUGUUCUUUUGUUUCUUUCGUUUUUGUUCUUUUGUUCUGUCGAAGAAGUGUUUCUUUUCAAAAGAAACAACUUUUUUUUGUUUCUUUUUUCUGUUCCUAUUUCGUUCCAGAAACAAAAAAACAAAAAAGGAACAAAAACGCAACCAAACGCGUUUCUGUUCCUUUUUUGUUCCCGGGCACACUUUCCGUACAAAAGUGUGCCGGAAACGUUUCUUAGAAACGUUUCCAUGCACGCCCUAAAUGGUCGGUUCAUCCUUCCUGCAACGGUUGAAUUAUAUGAUUAUUAAAACCAAAAAGUGCGCCUUCUUAGCCCUCGUCCAAAUAAAUGGUAAUCAGAAAUUGAAAAAUUUAUAUAAUUGGGAGGAUGAGGCUGAUUUGCAGGGAUGGAAAGAGGGGAAGUUGAAAAGUAUCAUGCGAAGUAUUAUUCUUAGUGGCUAAGAUUGUGCCAUCCGUUAGUCAAUUACCUAGACACGUUGGCAAAGCUAUGUCUUUAUCUUCUCAUUUUGUUCAUUAUUGACCCGUUGACCAUUCCUUGCUUCCUUCCCAAGUAGUCUAUCCCCAAAAAUUAAACUUUGACAAAAUUUUAUUUUUUUAACCCUCUCAAUUUUCAUAUAAGUUUGGUUUAAAAUUUUUUAAGAGCUAAAUUGCAUUUUUGCCUUUUCUCCGCCCAUGGGACGACAUUAAAUGAGAAAUUAAAGGUGUGAUUGCUCAGGUCAUUUUUUUUUAUUAUAAGUUUGUUUUAAAAUUUUUGAGAAUCUCAAUUUUACCCCUUAGUUUUUGGUUGGUCCCACCCCCCCCCCACCCCCCCAAAAAAAAAGGUUGACGCGCCUUCUUAUCCCUAGUCCAAAAAUAAUGAGACAGGGUAUGAAAAGUGGGUAAAAAUGUCGCGAUUAAUUUGUUCGAGAGAAAAAUUAGAGAUAAGAGAAAGAUGAUUACAGAUUCGUUGAUUUGAUAUGGAUAGUUAAAGAAAAGAAUUAUUCCAAAUGAUUAAAAAAAUGGAAAUUUUAUUGAAUCAAAAGUUUGCAAUAAUUAGGAGGAUAAGACUGAUUUGCUUAGGACACGAAUGAUAACCAUUCUAAUAUGAAAUUGAUUUUUGUAACAGAAAUAAAUUUUUAUAUUUUUAUUUUUGGACGAGUUUCUGAGUGACAUCGACCAACCCAAUUUUUUUUUUUUUGAGACCAACCCAGAGUUGACCACCCCUCUUGUGGCACCUUGGAGCUCCGUUAAGCUAUUUACCAUUUUCUUCUUCUGCUUCUUUAUUUUUUUUUUAAUUUUCGAAACUUUACUAAUUUGCAAUUAUUUGGCAUAUAAUAUCAAUAAAGACUACGAUUAACAAUAAUAGUGAGCAACCAAACGGGUCCUUCCAAAGUGAAAAUUACAAAUUUUCAAUUCUUAUUAAGAUUUCAUGUUUAAUUUACCCUCUUAAAUUUCCAUAACCGGAAGUAUCAAUUGCCUUGUAGCUUUAUGAAGGGAAAAUUAUCAAAUCAAUCAUGAGCAUAUUAUACAAAUAUCAAUUCAAUCAUUAAUUUUUUUAAUUUUCUCAAUUUUAUUUUAAACCUUUCCAAGAAAAUCGGCCACAAUAACUGAAUUGGCAACAUUGAAAUUUAGGAUCAAAUUGACAUUCGCAUAACGGGUUUAGGACUGGUUGGACAAGUAGAAGCGGAAUGUUAUUUAUUUAUUUUUUAAUAUUUAUUUUGGUGGUGUGUCGUUCAAAAGCUAAAGGCCAAAUAGGGCGUCGGGUUAGUCGAAAGGAGCCAAAAAAUAAAAAUAAGAAACAUAAAAGAAAUGAUAGUGACGGACCCCAGACUUUUGGGACCCACGCCGACGAAAGAGGGAACGGGGAGACUUCCAACCGGAAAGAGCAUUAAAUAAUAUAGGUAAGGCAGGUUCCAUCCUUCACCCGUGAUGAAAGAGAUGCCCAGUGGAUGACCAAAACCUUGAUGAAAGAAAUACCUCUGAAACCACAUUCUUAUCACCCGUGUCUAAAAUUCCUAAUUAAAUAGACAUAAAGAUAAGUAAAUGGUAAUUAUCUCGUGUCCCAACAUAAUAUGCCAUGCGAUAAUCGCAAUUUUCUCCACCAUUAUAGUAGCACGAUCUUGAAAAAAAAAUCAUAAUGGUUCGAUCUCAGUGUAUCCCAUCAUCCAUCAUACCCUUGAGAAGAGAACUGGAUCUUUAUAAGCUUCUUAAACAUCUCUUUUUUUUCUUUUUCUUUUUUUGGAUCGAAUGACUUUCCCUUAAGUCUCAAACUCUUCCUCUUUUAUAAAGGAAAAUAAUUUCAACUAAAAGUCCAUUUGUUUUGUAAAAAAUAUUUUCCAUGAAAACGUAUUUCUUAUUUUCUGGCAUUUGGUUCAUUUAGAAAAAUAAAUCAAUAGAAAAUAUUUUCCUAAUCAAUGGAAAAUAUUUUCCCAUCAAAACUUAAACUCAGGGAAAAAAUUUUCCUAUCAAAACUUAAAAUUAGGAAAAUGAUUUCCCUUUUGAAAGAAUCAGAAAAAAAUUUCCAAAAUGUUUUACUACUCUAAUGAAACAUUUAUUCUUAUUAAAAUAAUCUAAAAAAAUGUUGAAUUUUUAAUUUUUUUUAAUUAUGUUAUUAUUAUUUUUCUUUUUCUUUUCUUCUUUACUCUUUUCUUUCUUUGCCUUUCUCCUUCUUCCUCCAUUGGUCGCGUACCUUAGUGACAACUAGCAGCCAUCGACCAUGACGCGGGUCAACAAGCUUGAAUUGGUGGAGGCUGGCAGGCUCCUGGCGAGCUCCUGGCUUGCUUGAUCCCAGCAAGCUUAAGCUCACCUGUGGCCGUUGCUGAGACUCGACGAUUGGUAGAGGGAGAUGGUAAUAGAAAAAGAAAGAAAAUAAAAUAAAAUUUUUAAAAAUAUGAUUUUUUUUAAUUGAAAUUAUUUUUCGAAUGAGAUUCAAACACUAAAAAAUAUGUUCAAUCACAUAUCACUAAAUAAAUAAAAACUAACUAUUUUUCUAAAAGAUGAUUUUCUGAAAAUGAUUUUCGUUUAUCAUGAAGUUUUUCCUCAAACAAACGCAUCCUUACGAUGUUACGACAUAGACACAAAAUGAUAGAUAAACUAAUAAAUGAAAACAAUAUAAAUAAUCCAUGAAUUUUGGUUCAAUAUGCAAUGUAGUCCCUUAACUUUAAUUUAUUCAAUAUGAUCCAUGAAUUUUAGCUCAAUAUGGAAAAUUGCCAUUGAACUUUUAAUUUUUUUCAAUGUACUCCUUGAAUUUUUAAUAUAUGUUUAAUUUAGUCGUUGGACUCUAUGAAACUAUUUAUUAUUGUCCAUGAUCUUGAAUUAAUGGAAAAACUACAUUGAAUAUUUUCAUAAAGUUCAAAGACUACAUGUACAUUAAACAAAUUAAAAGUUCAGAGACCACAUUAACAUUAAACUAAAGUUUAGGGAGUUUAUAAAUCAUUUAUGUCAUUAUUCCAACUAAGAAUUCAAAAGAAUCUACAUAAAUACCAUAUUAUCCCAGUUACUGUUGUACACCCUAUUAUGUUUUGGGCUCUUUCCAAAAUUAUUCAAAUCACGAUUUUCGUUCUUUAUUAUAUUUUUUGUUAUUUUUUGUCCAUAUUAGCGGGUGGCCUUUUUCUUUAAUAGACAAAGGCUCAUGGCCAUUUAUCUAGUUUGAGUUUUUUUUUUAGUCAAAAGGAAAUUUACAUUCAUUAUGAAACUAAUGCAUAAAAGGAAAUCUCAAAAGUCGCAGUAACAAAAUAAACGAAUAACUAGAAAUCAAGGUGUUUUAUUAGAGUAUGAUUGGCAGAGAUUAUCACAAGCUCGUUUGUCAAGAACAGAUCUAUAAUGACAGAGAUCAUUACAAGGUUGUCCUUCAAGAGUAGAUCUGUAACCGGAUCCAAGCGAAAGGAUUGACGGCCAAUCACCGACUUACACAGUAUUAUCAGUGAUAAGCACACGCCACCAUUUGUAAUUAUGAAUUUGCCUUUUGAGUGAUUAUGUGCGCCUAAGUUCGGCGUCCAAACCACCAUCACCUUAUGUAGACAACAUAAGUAUAUUAAAAAUCUUAGAUCCGACACUUGUGAGAGUGAGUCUUGCAGAUCUAGUUUAAGCUCGAAAGGUUUUACUAUAAUCAAUAUUGAAAACGUAUUGAUUUGCAUUUAUUAUUUCUCCUUUUAAAAACAUGACCCCAUCACCAUUUUAAUACUUAGUCAUUAUUGUACAAGCUUUUACCUUACCUUUUUACUUUGCUAAAAUUACGUAAUCCUAUUAACACUAUAUUUAUAUUGAUUUCAAAAGUAGGAACAAAAACAUAAGUGAGCUCAAUAAAAACGAUACAGAAGAGUCUAAACAAAAAUUAAUUAACCUAUGUACGUAUAGAAAGUCAUUGUAAAGUUGAACAAAAAAAAUUAAAAGUACAGGUACAUAUCAUUAUUUAUGUACUCGAUGCAAAAAUUUAACGAAUAAGAGUCAGAUAAGAGGAAAAAUGUCCAUAUAAAAGUCCGAUUAAAAGCAAAUAUAAAUUUUACCAAAAAAAAAAAUGAAAAAACACGUGUUGCGUGAUGCCCGAAGACUUGACGUCGACUCUCUCUUCUAAGUCUUCCCCUUCCAAAAUUAGUAGAGCCACAGAGGCACCUGUCGUGCGUUCCAAAACGAUGUGGCUUCUGUGUUUCUUGAAAUGUAUAUUUCAUAAAAUUGCAGCACCUCGACACCGGGUGCGGUAGCUUCUUGGAAAAGUUAUUAUAAAACUGCCGAAAUUUCGAAGCAAUUGUAGCCACGAGGCAUUUACUGAAUACUUUACGGAAGAAGCAACUCUUCAAAGCCAUUCCAAAUGAUAGUAAGCAUGUGAAUUUUUGGAUCAUAAUGAAGGGAGUUUCCAAAGAUUUUUAGGAAGAAUUCCCUAAUCAUUAAUGGCUGCAUAAAAAAAGAGACUGAAUUCCAUUUUUUUUUUAUAAAAAUUAUGAAAGAAAUAAAUAAUUAUGAUAAAAUUACGAUUAGGAGAUUUUUGUCCUCCACCACCGUACAAGUGGCCCCAUAAUGAAUGAACUGAUGUUUGGGAUUAGGACCAAUAUGUCUUUUGCAGAAAAUAAUGUUUAUUUUCAGGAUUUGUACAUUAAUUGGUGAAAAUCUCAAGCCAAGGCAGAUUAAAAGAUUAACCGGUCACUGCUCAAUUGGAAAAAUAGGCAACACAACUGGCUAGUUGUGUAGAGCUACAUUAGGAAAGGAUAAUAAUGACCUUUGGACGUAUUUGUUUAAGCGAAAGAAUUCUUUAUGAAUUAAUUUUCCGAACUUUCAUAUAUUUGAUUUGUUAAAAAUGAUUAGUCGAUAGAAAAUCAAUUGUAGUAAACAAAAUAUAUGUAUAAUAAAUUCCCUAAUUUGAAAAAGGGAAAAUAUUAGCUUAAAAAAUAAAAAUAAAAAAUUCGAUAGCAUUUUCUUUUCUGAUCAAAAAAGCAUUUUCUUUUAUCAUUUGCAGUUGGAAACCUUAGUCGUGACUCUAAUACUAUCAAUUUUUGAUCUCCUCCUCCCCUGUUGAAAGUUUAAUUUGAUCUCAAAUUUCAUGUUACUUUUUUUCUCGAAUGGGUAUAGAUAAAGGAGCUUGACCAAAUAGUGUGAACACCAAAUGGAUGAGAUCAAAGAUCAAUUUGAAGCAUUUACAUUGAAUAUCCCCUUGUUUUUGUAUGUGCUUGGUCUAAGCGACAAAAUAUUACGUGUUCAAGUGAUAGACGCAUCAGUUUUACACAAGUCUAUUUCAUGAUUGACACGAAUUACUUUUGGACCCACCUAUCAGAAAUCUUUGCAUUCUCUCCCUCUCUUCUACAUCUUUCCCUCCCAAAAUUAGUAGAGCCAGAUGGGUGUAGAGACAGUUGUGGUGUGUUCCAAAACAACGUGGCUUUUGUGUUUUUGGAAAUGUUUAUUUCAUAAAUUGCAGCACCUCAACACCGGGUGUGGUAGCUUCCUAGAAAAGUUAUUAUAAAACUACUGAAAUUUCGAAGCAAUUGUCGCUGUGAGGCGUUCACCGAAUAUUUAUAGAAGCCGCAAUGCUUCAAGGCCAUUCUAAAUGAUAAUGAAGAGGGUUUCCAAAGAUUUUUGGGAAGAAUUCUCUAAUCAUUAAUUGCUGGAUAAAAGAAGAGAGUGAAUUUUACUAUCUACCGUAAGUCCUAAGUUUUCAAUUGUGUUACGAUAUUUCUUUAAUAAAAAUUACUAAAGAAAUAAAUAAUUAUGAUAAAUUGCGAUAAGGAGAUUCGGUCCUUCAACACCAUAUAAGUGGCUCCAUAAUGAAUGAAUUGAUAUUUGGGAUUAGGACCAAUAUGUCUUUUGCAGAAAAUAAUGUUUAUUUUCAGGAGUUGUAUAUUAAUUGGUGAAAUUCUCAAGCUGAAGCAGAUUAAAAGAUUAACAAGUCAACGCUUAAUCGGAAAAAUAGGCAACACAACUAGCUACAUUAGGAAAGGAUAAUAACGACCCUUUGGAUAUAUUUGUUUGAGCGAAAGAAUUCUUCGCGAAUUAGUUUUCUGAACUUUCAUGUGUUUGAUUUGUUAAAAAUGAUUAGUUGAUGGAAAAUCAAUUAUAAUAAAAAUAUAUAAAUAUAAUGAAUUUUCUAAUCUGAAAAGGGAAAAAUAUUAGCCUAAAAAAUAAAGAUUUUUCAAAAGCAUUUUCUUUUUUGACAAAAAAGAAAUUUCUUUUAUCAUUUAUGGUCGAAAGCCUUAGUCGUCGAUAUGAUACUAUCAAUUUCUGAUCUCCUCCUCCCUUGUUCAAAGUAUAGUUGAUCUCAAGUUUCAUGUCACCUUUUUUCUUUUUGAGUGGGUGUAGAUAUAGAAGCUUGACCAAAGAGCGAAUGCCAGAUGGAUGAGAUCAAAGACCAAUUUCCAAGAGAAAGAAGCAUCUACAUGGAAUAUUCCCUUGUUUUUAUAGAAAUCCAUUCCACCAUUGACACGUAUCACUCUUGGACCUACCUGUCAGAAAUCCUGACAUUCUCUCUCUCUCUCUCUUCAAUUAUGUGACACUCUCUCCUCUCUCUUUUGCGUUUUCUGAUACAAAGGACAAAGCCUACUCUAUUUUUGUCAAAAUGCUCUAUAUCCCUUCCAAGAACUCGCCGCUUCAAUCUUCGCUCACUUCUUCUCCGACCUCCAGCCCUACCACCUCUUGUCCAACUCCUCGUGCGCCCUCUAUGGUCACGUUAGCUAGGAGCUCGAGGCCCUCUACCGCGUUGACGGACCAUGCUGUUGCCUCCACCUCCGCCUCAUUCCUUACCUGGUCAAAGUUGAGCUCUAGAUCACAAAUCUAGGGCUUACUUGAGCUUAGACCCAAAAUUUGAGGCUCAAGUUCAUUGAUUCAGCUUGAACUUGAUAAUGGAGGACUAAGAUGAUGGUGAAAUGGUGGUAGAAGGCAAUUUACGGGAUUAAGUUGAUAAUGAGUUUGACUUGAGGUGUUGUCGUCUCUCGCAAAGUGAAAGGAGGAAGAAAAAGAAAAAAAAAGGAAAAAAAGUAAAAACAUUAAUUAAAGAGAGAGGAUAUAAGGGUUUUUCAUAGGUGGGCCCAAAAGUGACAUGUGUUGGACAUUAAAUGGAUAUGUGUAAAACUAAUGUAUCUAUCAUUUGGACACCUAACAUUUUCUUGGAUCUAAACAAAAAUAAUCACGUUACACGUCACCAUGGCCACGUUAGUGCAUAGUCAUUUUCCAACCACUCUUUCACAUUCUUUCCUCUUAAGCUCCUUUGGGACAACAAUUAUGUUAUCGAGAACAAUUUCGGUUCAUAAAUAGUUUUAUUUAUUUAUUUAUAUUUUUGGAAAUAAAAAAUAGUUUUUAUUUAUCUAUUAUCUCUAUUCCAAAUCUAUUUCCUGAUCACUUAUCUAUUCUGGAAAGUAGAAUAAUUAAUUGACGUACACAAAUGGAUUUAUGUUCUUGAAAAACAAAAAGAUAGAAAAACAGAAAAAUACACUAGUUACCAAACAAGUCAUAAGUUUUGCAUAAUACUUUUUCAAACUCCUCCUUUUCACCUCCUUGGAAAUCAGUCUCGUCCUCCUAAUUAUCGCAAAUCUUCUUCUUCUUCUUCUUUAAUCUUUUUCUUAUUUAAGAUUCUCAUUGAAUUAAUAUAUAUAUAUAUAUAUAUAUAUAUAUAUAUUUUUUUUUUUUUUGGUCAUUCCUAGUCUAUGUCUACUCUACACUCACUUGUAGACUUGUGCCCUGCCUCUUGCAGGGCGUGGGAGUCGCAACACACUCUCGAAACUUACGCGUCCUUACCCCCCAUCCCCCAUGAGAAGGUGGGGAUUUGAACCCCUCACCUCCCCCUUCCAAGUUGGAAGGGUGGCCACUGGGGCGAACCCCCAGUGGUUAUUAAAAUAUAUUGAACUUGACGAUUUUGCAACUGUUUAUUUGGAUUAGGGUUAGGGCCCCGUUAAUUUGUUUUGAGGGUGAGGCGACGGUGAAUCGAGCCCCCACAGACCUGUUCACUUAAAGCUCCCUUGCUGAUAAAAAGGCAAAAUCGCAAGCUUAUGAAUAAGAUAUGCUUUUAAAAAACUAAGAUUUAACAUAUUGUAAUAUCGAAAUGAAAUUCUUUGCAAAUUUCAAAAGGAAUGGUAAAAGAGGUAUAUAAAGAAUAAAUUGCGCCGUUUGUAAGAUGACGUGGCGUUUAUGUUUUUGAAAUCUAUAUUUUAUAAAUUGCAACACCUUAAAGUCAGUAGCUUCCUCAAAAGUUAUUAGAAGCGGCUGGAGUUUUGAAGUAGCCGUAAUUGUGAGGCGUUUACCAAAUACUUCAUAAAAGUCGUAACGCUCCUUUUUACAAUUGAAAUUGCUUCAGAAAAUCUGUUCCAAAUAGUAAUAGGCAUGUGAAUCUUAGAUUACAAUGAAGGGGGUUUUUAAAAAUUCUAGGGAAGAGGAUCCCUAAGCCUUAAUGACCAUUAGAUAAUAAUUAAAAGAGAAGAAGAAGCGAGUAUCACCGUUGAUCACGAACACAUUUAAACGUUUGCAUGUUAUAAUAUUUUAUAUAAAAAUUACAAAUAAAAGUAAACAAUUACGAUUAUUUGGGAUUGGGAGAUUCGUUCUUCGAGAUCAUACGAGUGCCCCAUAAUGAAUUGACGUUUAGGAUUAGUACUUCUUGGUUGAUUUAGGACCAAUAAUUUUCUUUCUAGAAAAAAGAAAUUUUCUUAUUCAGGAUUUGCACAUUAAUUUGUGAAAAUAUCAAGCUAACACAUAUUGAAAUAUGGGAAAAUUCCAAAUAAAGGCAUAAAGUGUUAUCAUUUUCUCAAAUAAGGACUCUAAAGUGAACCUUAUAUCGAAUAAGAAUCUAAAAUAGACAUGGUUGUUUCAAAUGAAGGCCUAACCUCGCCGAUUGCCAACUUGGCUAAAUAUUUUGAUUGAGUAAAGGCAUUUUCAUCCAAUUAUAAUUAUAAUUAUAAUUUUUUUUAUCAUUUCCUUUUCUUUAAUUCAUUUUUUUUCUGAUAAGGGCUCAGCGACCCUUUCUGGCUACGAGCGAGGCCACCCUUGCCUAGGGCCGACGAGGGCUUAAUGACCCUCGUCUGCCAUUGGCCUCCCCUAAGGUAAGGCCGCCCCUCGCUUGCUGUUGGUGAGGCGACCCCCACCUAUGUCCAAAGACAAAUCAUAAUCAUCUUAUCCUAGCAUAACGUGUAACCCGAUGCCGUACUUUAGGUGUAUUUGUUUUUGGACAAAUUUCAUGAUAAAUGAAAAUGUAAUUUAGGAAAUCAUUUUUCAGGAAUUUUUUUCCCCUUUUCAAAUUAGAGAAUUUAUUUUCCUAACUUUGAGCACACAUUUUUUUCACUGUAAAUUGUUUUCUAUCAAUUAGUUCGUAAAAAAAUUUAAAUAAAUACUCAUUAAUGUCCUUUCCUGAUGUAGCUCUGCACAAUUAGCUAGCUGCAUUGCCUAUUUUUCCAAUUCAGUGGUGACCCAUUAAUAUUUGGGUUAAUAACCUGAAAAUUUGCAAACCAGUACACAUGUGACAAAUUUACUCUAAACUAUUUUUUUUACAAUCAAAAACUCCAAAUUAGUAUACCUUUGGCAAAUUUACCAUAUGUUAGUUUUCGUUAAAUUUUACUAUCAAAUUAUUAAGUUAACAUGUGACAAUUGACUAGUAUACCAAUCUUGAAUUUUACACUCUGUUUGUCACAGUUUACAAUUUUUGUGAUGUUUUUGUGGUAUUAUUCCAAUUUAGCAGAUGAUAUAUUUGUUACAAAUUUAUUAAUUUGGGGUUUUUUGCGGUCAAAUAAAUUAGUUUUGGGUAAAUUUGUCAUAAACGUACCGGCUUAUGAUUUUUUUAUGGUUAGUCGGGGUAAAUUUGUCACAAGUAUACUGGUUUGAGGUUUUUCAUAGUAAAAAGAAAAACAGUUUUUGGUAAAUUUGUCAUAAGUGUAUCGGUUUGGGGUUUUUUAGGGUAUUAAAUCUUUUUAAUGUGCAUUAGCUUGAGAUUUUCACCAAUUAAUAUGCAACUCCUUGGAAAGAAUUAUUACAUUCUACAAAAGACAUAUUGGCCCUAAUCCCACACGCAGUUCAUUAUGAGGGCACUUGCAUGGUGUCGAAGGACGAAUCUCUGGAUCGCAAUUUAUCGUAAUUAUUCAUUAUUCUUUCAUAAUUUUUACACAAGAUACUGAAACACGCAAAAAAUUUGGAAGGGUUUACGAUCGAUGGUGAAAAUCCCUCCUCUCUAUCCUAUGGCCAUCAUUGGUUGGAUCUGCUUCCCAAGAAUCUUUCGAAGCCCCUUUCAUUAUAAACCAAAUUUCAUACGUCUACCAUCAUUUGGAACAAACUUCCAACAACUACUUUAGUCUUGAAAAAGAAUGUUUUGACUAGGGAUGAACAUUGUUUGAAUGGCCGAUUCCCACCUUAAAAUCAAAAACCGCCCACUAAAAAUCAUUUUUGAAAAACUUGGAAUGGGAUACUACUCAAUGAUUUCAUGGAUCCACCUAGGAACCGAUCUCCAAUCCUUAUAAAAUUGCAUUCAUCAAUUUAUAUCAUAUCAAACCUAAUUUUUAUUUAGAGCACCAAAGUUUGCUUAGCUAUAAAUUAAUGUUGAAUUGCGAGACAUUGAUUUUGAUUAGAGAUUGACAAAUAUAGAGCAGAACCAAUAGACAAUACUCAUUAGUUAAGAACUUAAUUUUUUCAAAUGUCAUGAUGUGGUCCUCUUAAGGUUUUCCGAUAUCAAGAACGUAUGGAGAAUUAGACUCUACGUUAGAAGUCCUAACCUCCAAAGAAAUUAAAACAUUAAUCACUUGAUUCAUUUUUUUUUCAACCUCAACUAAUUUAAUCACGGGCAUAGCUAAGAAAAACCUAAUUAUGCUUUUAAUAUGAGCCAUUGACUCUUAAUUUUGUAUCAAUACAAUAAAGUGCCGCAACAUUUAGGGAUAUCUCUAACCGGUCCUCUCCUUUCUCUUCAUUUGUCUAUUUUGUUUUGGCUAAGAAAGUAAGUAAAUAGAUUAUUAGAAUGAAAAAAAAAGGUAGGGGAUUAAUCCUAUUACACACUCAAAAGACAAAAUUAGUCAAUAAUGUCUAAUAAUAUAUAUUGGUCAAAAAACUACAAAAUAAUUAAGUUAUAUAUAUAGAUUUCAUCUAGGUGGGCGAUUCCAUACCUAGAAUCGGGAAUCGAAUCGGUGCUCACCCGUUCCACUAAAUUAGAACUAAGAAUAAGAUUAGUCCUCAUGGAAAAUGCCAGUUUUGUCCGAUUUAAUGCGAUUCUUGGUUCCUUUGAUCCAUCUUUUUUAACAUCAACUAAUAUUUAAUCAUGGGGAUGGUUAAAGAGAGACCUUAUUUUGCUCUUAAAAUGAGCCAUUGUCCUCUCUUUCCUCUUUGUUUAUUUUGUUUUGGCUAAGAAAGUGAGUAAAUAAAUUAUUAGAAUAGGGUUAAUCCUAUUACACAUUGGAAGGACAAAAUUUGUCAUAAUGUCCAAUAACUACAAACAUAUAUUUUGGUAAAAAAAUUUCAAAAUAAUUAAGUAAUAUAUAUAUUGAGAAUCAGACCGGUACUCACCAGUUCCAUUAAAUUAGAAUCGAGACCUGGACUAGUCCUCAUAGGAGCCACCGAUUUUGUACUGGUUUCAGCCUGGUUCUUUGCAAUUCAGGCGAUUCUCAAUUCCUUGGCAUUGUCACGGCUACUUCAAAAUUUCAGUAGCCUUUGAUGACUUUCUAGGAAGCUACCGCACCCGACAUUGGAGUGCUACAAUUUAUAAAAUAUGCAUUUCAUAAUCACAAAAAGGUACGUCAUCUUAUACAUUUUUACCAAACUGGCUCUACUUAUUUUGAAAGGGAAAGACCAAGAACAGACAGUCAACGUCAAGUCCUUGGGCAUUAUUUAUCGCCGACAAUACCUAAUCUAGGGCAGGUCAUCCUUUUUACUUAUUGUGAAAACUCACUCUUUGCACGGAUAUUGUGAAAAAGACAGAAUAUAACACGCGUUUUUCAUUUUCAUUUUUAUUUACAAUUUAUUUUCGAUUUGCUUUUAAUCUGACUUUUAUAUGGAUAUUUCCUUUUUACUUUCUCGUGUUCGUUAAAUUUUUGUAUCAAGUACAUAAAUAUUGAUACGUACCCGUAUUUUUUCAAUCUUUUUUCAUUUCAAAUUCUUUUCAUUUACCUUGCUUGAUUUUAUUUUAUUUUUAACUUUACCGUGACUUUCUAAAUUUACAUAUGUUAAUAUUUUUAUUUAGACUAUUUUAUAUCGUUGUAUCAACUUCAUUGAAGAACUAUUUUGAUUCUGUCAUUACUUUUGUUAUUAAUGUAAGUAUGGUGUCAAUAGGGUUAUGAAAUUUUAGCAAAAUAAAAAGGUAAAGUGCAAGUUUAUGCAACCAUGAAGUUAUGAUUUUAAAAGGAGAAACAAUAAAUGCAAAUCGAUUCGUUUUGAAUAUUGAUUAUAGUAAAAAAAUUUUGUGCUUCAAGUGAUAUUAAAUAAGAUUUGCCACACUCAACUUGAACAUGGCGAAGUGAGAAACUUGAACCAGAUAGAGAAGCUUAGUAUCCCCAAAGCCUAAUCUUCUUCUAUUAUUAUUAUUAUUAUUAUUAUUAUUAUUAUUAUUAUUAUUAUUAUUAUUAUUAUUAUUAUUAUUAUUAUUAUUAUUAUUCUUAUUAUUAUUAUUAUUAUUAUUAUUAUUAUUAUUAUUAUUAUUAUUAUUAUUAUUAUUGUUAUUAUUGUUAUUAUUGUUAUUAUUGUUAUUAUUGUUAUUCUUAUUAUUGUUAUUAUUAUUAUUAUUAUUAUUAUUAUUAUUAUUAUUAUUAUUAGAGCGAUACAAGUAUUCUUUUUAAGGAAAAAUGUUGUAAAAAUCAUUUAUCUUUUACGAAACAAAUAUAGGUUAAAUAUACUUAAAAAUCAUCUUAGCCCCCUCUCCCUCCUCUAUUAUAACACUACCGCCCCAAAAAUAAAAAUACAACUAUAAUAGUCCAAUAACAAUGGACAUCCAUCCACAUCAUGCUCUCCAAAAGAGUGAUCUACAACCUUUUGAAAAGAUAGAAGAUUCCAACACUAUCGUUAUUUAUUAUAAGAUGAACAAUAACAAUUUGAAUACUGAAUAAUAUAUAUUUUGAUAACUUGAAUGUUAUCUUAUUCCGUAAUAUAUCUUAUUAGUUCUAUAAUUAUUCUACUUUUGCAAAUCAAAUUGUAUUUUGGAUUCUUCUUUAGAACUAUUCAUAUUAGUUGGUGGCCUUUUUGUUAAUAGACAAAAGCUCAUUAAUAUCCUUUCCUGAUGUAACUCUGCCCAACUAGCUUGCUGCGUUGCCAAUUUUCCAAUUGAAGCGAUCCUUUGAUAUUUUAAUAUGCAUUAGCUUGAUAUUUUCACCAAUUAAUGUACAAAUCCUGAAAAAUAAAAUUUUAUUUUCUAGAAAAAGACAAGUUGGACCUAAAUCAAUAAAGAAAAAGGCCCAUCAAUAUCCUUUCCUGAUGUAACUCUGCCCAACUAGCUUGCUGCGUUGCCAAUUUUCCAAUUGAAGCGAUCCUUUGAUAUUUUAAUAUGCAUUAGCUUGAUAUUUUCACCAAUUAAUAUACAAAUACUGAAAAAUAAAAUUUUAUUUUCUAGAAAAAGACAAGUUGGACCUAAAUCAAUAAAGAAAAAGAUACUAUUAUAAAUGUCAAUUCAUUUUGGGCACUUGUAUGGUUUCGAAGGAUGAAACUCCGGAUUGCAAUUUAUUGAAAUUAUUUUUUCCAUUAUUUUUAAUUAAAAUAUUGUAACACACAAAAAUUUAAAAUGGUUCGUGAUUAAUGGUGAGAUUUACUCUCUUUUCUCUCCAACCCCAUGAAAAAUUAGGGAUAUGCUUUCGAAAAAUCUUUAGAAACCUCUUAUUACAAUCCAAAAUGCAUAUGCCUAUUAUCCUUUUGAGCAGCUUUGCGUAGUAAUUUUCAGCCGUGAAAAGGAGUGUCAUGACUUUCGUAAAUUAUUUGGUCAACACCUCACAGCUACAGCUAUGACCACUUUAAAAUUUCAGCAGCUUAUAAUAACUUUAUAGGAAUUAGGAAGCUACUACAAUUUAUAAAUUAUGCAUUUCAAAAACAUGAAAGCCACCUCAUUUUAUAACACACCUCAACUACCUUUGUACCAAUCUGGCUCUACUAAUUUUGAAAGAGAAAGCCCAAAAACAGAGAGUCAACGUCUAGUUUUUGGGUAUCAAUUAUUCCUGACUGGGCCUGGACCACAGAUUGCAAAAUGAAGCUGGCUCAUCCCAGUUUUGUGCGUAUGAUAAACUGGGUGAUCAGUUCCCGGUUCAGUUUGGUUUCAAGGUGGAACCGGGAAAUAGACCGGGAGAACUGGUUCCGGUCCGGUCCGGUCCAACAAAAUUGACAUUUUCCUUUUUCACUAAAGAAAAACCAUGCUCCGGACUGAUCAAUCCAAUUCGGUUCCUAGGCGUUUUAAUAAAACUACUCACACAUGUUUCCAUGCGCCAUGUGCAAAAUAUUCACACUUCACUUGCGUGAAUAUCAAUCACAGUUUAUGUGUUUCACGCUUAAUUUUAAGCAUAAAAGCCAUGAACAAUUUGAUUAAAGGUUGUGCUUAGUUUAGAUUUUAUAAACAAUCUCUCUUCUAUGCUUUGAAUGUUUAGUCGAUAUCGGACUCUUUGAGGCUUGAAGUGCCUUGUUGUUUGCAAGUGAGGGGAGCAAGUGAGAGAGUGUGAGCACGAGGAACUCCUAGAGCCUUCUCUCACAUUGAGUAGAAAAUGAAACUAACAAGUAAGUUUUCUCUAUAAAUAAAGAGUAACAACAAAGCUUUGGUGGUCUCUUGGCCACAUAGAAGAUUGUUACCUCAAUUGCAAUUGUAAUUGCAAUAAGUUUCAUAUAUAAUAUUCAUAUAUUAUAUGUGUUUAUAUAUUAUAUGUAUAUAAAUUAUAUAUAAAAAAAUUGGUCCGGUCUGGUCGGUCCGGUUGGUCCGGUUCCCACCUUGAAACCAAGAACCAGACCAACCGGCCGCCGGUUCCAAGAUUAGGAACUGGGAACCGGACCGCCGACCGUGGGAACCGCCCAAAACCGGCCGGUUCGGUCCAGUCCCGGUUCAGGCGGUUUCCGUUGCACACCCCUAUGAUAAACAAGCUAGCAGAUUGGGUGGUAAAAGCCCCACGAAAAGAAGAAUUCCCCCAGAAUUGGCUAUUUCAUCCUGGGGAACUUAUGUUGGAUAAUUUAUAUUGGGUAAAAGUCACCAAUAACACAUUUAUUUAAAACUUUUUUUCGUGACACAAAAAACUCUAAACUAAACUAAUGUGUACAUUUACCCCAAAUUUAUACAGUGUGACAUCUUUAUCCCAAAUUUAUUUUUCAAACAUUUACUUGUGUGAUGAAUUCACCCAAAAAAUUUGGUGUCUCAAGAAAAAUUUUGAGAUUUUUGGUGUUAUAAAAAAAAAAUUAGAGUAAAUACGUCACACAGGUAAAAAUUUGGGAUUUUUUGUAUCACAGAAAAAUUCGAAGCAAAUGUGCUAUAGUGGGCAAAGUUUGGAGUUUUUUGCGUCACAAAAAAUAAUUUAUGGUAAAUGUGUCAUUAUCAGCAAAGUUUGAGAUUUUUUUUUUUUUGGUAACUUUUUCCCUUAUAUUUUCACAAACUUGGCUUGAGUUGAUAAAAUUUAUGUUUAGACACAAAAAAAUUUGUUGCAUACUAGAAAACCGACUCUUUGCGCAGAAAUUGAGAAAAAAACAGAAUAAAAUUAUUGUCCUUUUCUUGCAUCGUGCGGAUUCCCACCCAAUACCACCUGUUUUUAUUUAUUAUUUUUUUUUUGCUAAAAAUCAAUUUUCCAUUUGCUUUCAAUAUAACUUUCAUAUACUACUGCUUUUUACUACUGUUCUCUUGUUCCUUAAAUUAAGAGAAGAUAGCAUAAAUGAUCCUUGAAUUUUGUCUCAAUUCGCAAUAUCAUCCUUAAAAUUUUAAUUUAUUUAAUGUGGUUCUUGAACUAUUAGUAAAUGUUCAAUGUCGUCUUUAUGCUUGCUCAAAGGGCAAACCAAAUGUUAUUUUGAUGAUGUAGAUUACUAUAUGUUGAGUUGAAUUUUUAGAAAUGAUGAUUCGAUAUAUCUAUCAUUUUACCCAUCUACUUUAGAUAAGGAAAAAAUUUAAGCAUUAACAUGUCCAUUGUUAUUUAUUGACAUGGAUUAUUAUAUCCAAGUCAAGAUGAAUAUCUUACGUGGAUAAUCCAUAAAUAACUCUUUUUCUUUUUUUGCUCACUAUUCAAACCUAAAUGAUUGGAAGCUACAUCACUAGAUUUGUUAUUGUAGCUUUUGUUAAUUUGAAUUAAUGGAAGGAAUGUAUUCUAGAAUUAGAUUGAAUAUUUGUAAAUAAUUCAAGUAUCACAUUGCAUAUUGGACCAAAAUUCAUAGACCAUUUACGUCAUCUUUCUUUAAAUUUUUUAAUCAAGUACAUAAAUAUUGCAAUGUACCUAUGUUUUUCAAUUUUUUUUUUCAUUUAAAUGAGUUUUAUUUGGAGAGAAUUCAGAAAGGGCUUUCUGCUUCGUUUAUAACCACGGACAGAAUGCAAUAAAGUCAGCGGGGCACUUCCAAAAAGCUUUCAUUAUACCUUGAUUUUACUCAAAUUAUCUAAUAAAUGUUUUUGGAGGUAGAACCCACUGAUUUGUCAAACCCAUUAUGGCUAAUUCCUGCCACAUCUCAUUAAACUACAGUUUAGAUUAAAUAAAAUAUAUGGUAGAAAUGAAAUAGCAUUUCUUUACACUUCGGCUAAAAUAUUUUUACAACUUUGCCAUGAAUUUCCAAAUUUAGAUGGAUUGAUUUUUUUCUAUUUAUUUUUUUUAUAUCAUUGUAUUGACCCCAUUGAUAAAUUUUUUUUAUCACAAUUAAAAAGUAAAAGCUUACGCAAUCAUGAAUGAGUAUUAUAAUUGUGAUGGAAUCAUGUUUUUAAGUGGAGAAACAAUCAAUGUAAAUAAUUACUUAUUGUAGAUUUUAGCAAUAACUUUUGUGCUUCAAGUAAAUAUAAAAUAAAAUUUGCCACUCUACUUGAACUAGAUAUAUGGCCAAGUAUAACACUUGAGCCAGAGAGAGAAGUUCAGUAUCUCCAUAGCUUCAUUUUCUUGAUCGAAAGUUUUGUGAACUAUGAUUCAGCUACAAUAAAUCACAUGGGACUCCAAACAUUUCUUGAUACUCAAGACUCGAUCGAAUCUAUUAGAGCUAGGUCUCUUCUCGAAACUAAAAUUAAUACCGACAUCUUUUUGUCCUUACUAGAAAAAGAAUUCAACCAAAAAAAGAAGUGUGGAAAUGUGGAAAUAGAAAGCAUAAGGCGUUCCUUUUUCUGCUUGAGAAGGAAAUAACAUUCCACGUCGAAUGUAUCGAUUCUAUCCUCAAAUUCAACCUCUUCAACGAAGUGGAAGAUAAACAAACAUCAAGUCUCGUCUUCUUGACAUUACAUUUAAGUUUGAUAUAUGGGGAAAACAGUCAAAUUAAUCCAUCUUCUUUGCCCAAGAACUAGACAUAUUGCUAACAGAUGCUCUUUCAUAAACGUGAGCUGCAAUUGGGCCUACAAGAGCCAACAGUUCUUGCAAACCGGCCUGCUCAUCAAGGAUCAGCAAGGCAUGAACUUUUGCGGCGCCUUCUCCGUCUUGUUUUUUCCGAUCGCUCUUCCUUAAGACGACUAGCGACAUGCAUUCCAAGAGCAUGGGAUUAUACGCCAAGAGUUGGGGGACUUAAUGGGAGCUGAUUAACUUUCCAUUGUCACAAAUUAUAUCAACUGAUCCGGAUCUAGAGUCACCAUCUAAUGAUAUAACAGAGGAUCUGUUACCAUAAUGCUGAACUGCACAAUAACUAAUCACUAGGACUUUAGGACUGAUCCAUCCGGAUUGUAUCGAUUAAGCAUGUUCUAUUAAGUCCAGUGUGCAUGCAACAUCUCAAAGCUGCAUCUUCAAAAGGAGAGACGGAAGUGCAUGUACGACAACUGCCGAUCAAAGACUACUCGAUCCUACUGCUCUAUUUAGCGCAUGGCUUGUCGACAAUAAAAUUUUUAUUAAGAUGGCCAACUGUCUCAUAACGCACAUCAUAUUACUCACAUACAAACCCCUCGCAGAUCAAGCUCGGAAACAUCCUCCCAGAAAAGAAAAAAAGGAGAACGGCUCCAAACGAGUCAUAGAUAACGAAACUUCCAUACGGCUACUUUCAGGCUUUACGACAGACCUCACCAUCACAGACCCAUCCUUCUUUGGCAUCUCCUUCUUUCUUUGCUUCCUCCUCAGCUGCUUCAUCGUCUUCAUCUAACUCGUUUUCAGUUGCUUUCUCUUCUUUAACAGCACAUUUUGGAUGGAGAUCAAAGUCACACUCCUCGCAAUAAUAUGACCACCCCUCCCCCUCUUCAUCGCAGCCCUCACAAGUGUACCGUCUCCUCUGAGCCGGAACGAGCUCGUGCUCUUCAUGCAAAGGAUGCUUCAACUUCUCUGGCCAGCCUUUUAUACUUUCCUUGAACUUUUCCUCAAACUUCUUGAGAUGUUCGGCAGUAAAAGGAUAAGCAUCAGCCCCGUGGUCCAUUAUAAGAUCCCUUGCUUUGUUAGUCACCGUCCGGCCCGUUGGACCUAUGGCUACAAGCAUGGGGAUGCCCCGGACCUUGAAUUUGCCACUCAGGGAUUUCUUCCUCUCGUCACCAAAAGGGAGCGCCAGCCACGGCAUCUGAGCAAAAUAAUCAUCAAAGGCAGUUUGAUUCCUGUCACUGGAGAUGAAGAUAACCUCCAAGGCAUUGCCGGCAGCCUUGAUCUUUUCAUAUGCCUCCAUAAGCACCGGCAGGAAUGCACGGCAAGGACGGCACCAGUGUGCCGAGAAGUACAGGAGGACAGUCUUCCCUAUCAAGUCUGAUACUGGAAUCUGCAAUCGAAGUUAAGAAACAACCUUUUAGAUGAACCACAAAUUGAUGGAGAAAGCACAUGAAAACUGCAUAUAUGGAAAGGAUUUUCCUAGCUAUAAACCUGGUUUCACUCCUUUCCUCAAGUCAAGUAACCCGAGGUACAACUUUAUAUGGGGCCUCAUUGUAGACAUUAAAAAUUUCUGAGUCAUUAGCUUCUAGAAGAAAAACAAAUUUACCUUGGUUCCUUCCUUUCCAAUGAUGAAAUCCAGAUCCCCUGAAACCAAGAUCGACUCCAAGGUCUGAGAUUCUUCCUUUUUCUUUUCUAUCUCUGCAAGCUCUGCAAACUUUUCUGGAGUGAAUGGGUAAGCCGCAACGCCAUGCUUUUCGACAGUUCCGGCAACAUUGGGAUGGACAGUCUUCCCAUCCUGACCGAUAAUGACCAGAGUGGGUAGGGUCGACAGCUCAAAGUACCUAACCAACUUCUCCCAUUUCUUGUCUUUGAAUGGUAAUGAAAGCCAUGGCAUGCUUCCAAAGGAUUGGUUGAAUGAUGCUUCGUCAUCAUCAAGAGGUAUCUGAACAAUCUCAAAACUCUCUUCUUUGGCCUUCAAUGUCUUAUAAACCUCAAGCAACUUCGGCGUGAAAUCAACGCAUGAUUUGGACAUGGACAAUGAGAAGUACAGGCCCACAGUUUUCCCUUCAAGCUCAGAAACAGAAACC
rnacentral:lncRNA from 1 species